UAACGAAUAUUCCACAAUGCGCGAAAGCGUGAUGGAGCAAUGCCGCGUGCGGGAUGAAGCGCCUUUGGCGUGUAAACCGCUGUCAGGGGAUAGAAACAUUGAUCAUCUCCAGAGGAAGGGGCGACUAACUCUGUGCCAGCAGUCGCGGUAAUACAGAGGCCCCGAGCGUUAGUCGGAAUCACUGGGCUUAAAGGGUGCGUAGGCGGAUCGGUAAGUGUUCUGUGAAAGCCCCUGGCUCAACCGGGGAACCGCAGGGCAUACUGCCGAUCUUGAGGAAGCUAGAGGCCGGCGGAACGAUAGGUGGAGCGGUGGAAUGCGUAGAGAUCUAUCGGAACGCCAAUGGUGAAGACAGCCGGCUGGGGCUUUCCUGACGCUGAGGCACGAAAGCGUGGGGAGCAAA
rnacentral:rRNA from 1 species